GGUAUGCAGAAAAUUCUAGGGGGUACGCCUUAUUUCUCUUCAAAAUACUUUGUCCUCUCGCAUGCACAAAUUUAUAACUAAAAAACAAAAUUUGGGCGAAAUUUUUUUAACUGGCUACUCUACAUUAUAGAAACCUGGCAACUCUGCUUCAAGUCUAGUGGUCUAGUCAUUCUAGUCAUCAGUGCGCAAUGCAACUGUACAUACACAAUGCAAUUGUAUUGGUUAGCGAGGUCGUGUGUCAUUGUAGAGUGAAUUUAAUUGUAAUUGUGUGCAGAUAGUGGUGUGUAUUACAAAAAGUUUUAAUUACUAUUGAGUUUAGACUCUUCAUAAAUGGGUAAAUGGCUAAAAACAUUGCCUGCAAAGAAGCCGCAGGUUGAAUAUUCUGAUGUUGCAUCUACUUCAGGCGCACAACAAGAAAACUGUAUUAACCCUACAAUGUGUAAAAAAACAUUAAGCCAUAAAAUUCGAAACUAUCAAGCAGAUUUUUUAAAAUUUGGUUUUACAGUUAAAGUAGUCAACCAUGAAUCUCUUCCUAUUAUGUUAUGAAAUUCAAUCACAUUGUUCUCAUC
rnacentral:lncRNA from 1 species